rnacentral:rRNA from 1 species
UACGUAGGUGGCGAGCGUUGUCCGGAUUUACUGGGCGUAAAGAGCGCGCAGGCGGCUGGUCAAGUCCGAUGUGAAAGCUCCCGGCUUAACUGGGAAAUUGCAUCGGAAACUGAUCGGCUGGAAGGUGGGAGAGGGUAGCGGAAUUCCCGGUGUAGUGGUGAAAUGCGUAGAUAUCGGGAGGAACACCAGUGGCGAAAGCGGCUUCCUGGUCCAGCACCGACGUUCAGGCACGAAAGCGUGGGGGAGCAAA